CACUUAGUCUAGUUAUGUUUUGAUUUGUUAAGCUCACUUGGAUUAUGUUGUAGUUAUGUGAGGGAUUGACGACUCUUGGUUGAUGCAUUGUUAUUUUCAUUUGAGCUUAUUAUAUUUUGUUAAGCUUAUUGGUUUAAUGCUGUAUAUUGAUUGUAUUUUUAGUUUGGCAUAUGUUGAAUUGUUGAUUUAUUGGAUAUGUUGAUUGUUGAGCAUAUAUGAUGAAUUUUGUAUUUUUUUUAAUAUUAUUAUUCAUGUGAAUGAAUCAAAUCAAAUUUGUGUUGUUAUCAGGUCGUAAUCAGAUCGUGUCGCUAUCGUGUUGUGUCAACCCGAUUCAAAUCGGGUUGUUAUCAGGUAGUAAUCAGAUCGUGUCGCUAUCGGGUCGUGUCAACCCGAUUCAAAUCGGGUUGUUAUCGGGUUCGUGUCGGGUUCUGGUUGGGUUCGGGUUCGGGUUUAGGUGUAUCAGGUUGGGUUCGGGUUGGGUUCUAGCAUUCCCUUAUCAGGUCGGGUUCGGGUUUGGCCUUAUC
rnacentral:lncRNA from 1 species